rnacentral:rRNA from 1 species
UACGUAGGCAGCAAGCGUUGUUCGGAGUUACUGGGCGUAAAGGGUGCGUAGGUGGCUCUAUAUGUAUGGUGUGAAAUCUCCCGGCUUAACUGGGAGGGUGCGCCGUAGACUGUGGGGCUAGAGUGUGGGAGAGGAAAGUGGAAUUCCUGGUGUAGCGGUGAAAUGCGUAGAUAUCAGGAGGAACACCGGUGGUGUAAACGGCUUUCUGGACCAUAACUGACACUGAGGCACGAAAGCGUGGGUAGCAAACAGG